CACUCCAUGUGCUCCAGGCACACAUCCACUGUCUUGGCAGCACCAGCAAUCCAGCCUGUUGGAUCCAGAGGACAAAUUUAAGUGGAACUCAGACAUCUGGCAACCACCAUUCCCAGGACCUCCCUACGAGCCUCCUGACCUGCACACAGUGGCCAACAUGUAUCUGACGUGUUUCUAAGACCUUUUCCAAGUGUGUCACCAACCUUGAUGCCCAGCUCGAUGUUCUCCCCUCCGUACACGUCCAUGCCGGGAUCCAGGAGCCCGAUCUCCCC